rnacentral:lncRNA from 1 species
UUGGUGGUAUGAUAGUCAAUGUAAGUAUGUUUGACUUCCUGCAUAUAAAAUUCAAAUACUAACAUCACAAUUCACAUAGGAAAGGAACAUAUUUUCACCAUAACUUUUAAAAAUUUGUGUCAAUUUGGAAUACAAUUAAAGUGAACAAGUGUGAAAUUUGAAUGAAAAUAACCAACAUUCCUGACCUAACCUUACCUAAAAAGUUUGUAAUACCCUUAAUACCAACCUAAAACCCCCAUGCCAGAUGUCUACAACAUACAAACCUUUCAACCAGCCUACUACAGUACCUAACACCUCACAACCUAUUCCAUUCUGAACCUAUUGAUUGGGAUUUUUGUAUACUUUUAUACUCAUUGCAUCCUAGCUUGCUAUUAUAGCAAACAUGCAGGUAUUUAAAGAAAUGUUUUGUUUUUCCUUCUUAGCUGUUGAAAUUUCUUGAAUGCCAACACAACACAACACACCAUGCGCACAUGACAGAGGUCUCCGUCACUGCGGAGGGAAGAUCGCAAUGCUGCUUGCAGGCUGUUGACAGAAAGUGAUCAGUAAGUUAUGACCCUAUGCAUAAUGCUACAAUUAUUUCUUUUGUAUACAGGGAGUUGGUCAGAGAUUGAACAUGUCUCAGCAUCAUAUAUUUGAAUGCUGAUAAUUAUGUAUACGAGCAUUGACCAAUCAAUUGAAACUAGAAAAGUAGAUAAGUGCUUAACAAAAUGGAUUGGUGAAGAUUAGAUUGCCUAUAUAAAGCAUGCAAUGUUGACUUCAUAACAUACUGCAUAAAAAUGUAGUCUGUUCCAUAUUAUGUUUGCGCCUAUGGUCAAAGCUGCUUCUUCAAUUUGCUUCUUCGUUCAAUCUAGGGAUGUAGCCAAGGGAGUGGCCACGGCUGUCAUGGUCUACCCCAAAGGCGAGAAAUUAAAUAAAAUAAAAUGAAGAUAAAUAAAAACAGCUGUACCAUACCCCCAAAAAUAGUGGGCCAAAUCCGAGUUUUCCUUUUUGGAGGGGGUACGACACUAGGCCGCGAUCUGUGGCCCCUCCCUCAGUAAAAUCUUGGCUAUGGCUCAAUAAUUUGAGUCUAUGCUUUAUGUCUAUGACUAUUCUAUACAGGAGCUAUGCAAUCCUGUUUUCUUUCUAGGUUCAUGCUGUUCUGAGGUGAAACAUUUUCCUGGCAUGGUGGCACUUUGUCAGUGUGGGGUGAGGUAGGCAUCCACUGUGAUGUGGCUGACCCUGUCGGCUCCCACUCCCCCUCUGACCCGGCCAUGCGUCCCGCCAGGUUGUCGUGUUCUGCCAGCUGCUGCGCCGGCGUUGGCAGCGCACAGCCGCUACCAGCUGACACGCCGACCGGUGCGCGGCGCGCGUGCGCCGGGCGCCGACGGCCGUCGUCUGGCAGCAACAGCGCUGCCAGUGACUCGCGCUGCUGCUGCAGAAACUGGACAAGGAUCGUAGAAUCCUGGCGUGUUUUUGUAACGUCCAAUAGAGUGAUUUAGACGCAGCGUGUAGAAAGGACUCGUUUAUUGACGUGUGACUUUCUGACAGCUCAGUCACCUGUUGACGGCGGCGCACAGCGUCACCUACCCGCCCUACAGCCGGCCCAGCAGGCGGACGGAGAGGCCCGCCCGGGCCCAGUGCCGCACGGAGAGGCGGCGGCGCUGGAGGCCAACACCCCGGCUCGCGGCCUGUAGCUGACGGUGCUGGAGCCGCGAGUCACCGUGGUGGCUGGCCAUGGAGACUUGGAAAAGGCCGGUGAGGUGCGUCUCCC